rnacentral:rRNA from 1 species
CCAGCAGCCGCGGUAAUACGUAGGGUGCGAGCGUUAAUCGGAAUUACUGGGCGUAAAGCGUGCGCAGGCGGCUUUGACAAGACAGAGGUGCGAUCCCCGGGCUCAACCUGGGAACUGCCUUUGUGACUGCAAGGCUAGAGUACGGCAGAGGGGGAUGGAAUUCCGCGUGUAGCAGUGAAAUGCGUAGAUAUGCGGAGGACACGCGAUGGCGAAGGCAAUCCCCUGGGCCUGUACUGACGCUCAUGCAUAAAAGCGUGGGGAGCAAACAGGAUU